rnacentral:rRNA from 1 species
GACGAACGCUGGCGGCGUGCUUAACACAUGCAAGUCGUACGGUAAGGCCCUUUCGGGGGUCCACGAGUGGCGAACGGGUGAGUAACACGUGAGUAACCUGCCCACAACUUUGGGAUAACGCUAGGAAACUGGUGCUAAUACUGGAUAUGUGCUCCUGCUGCAUGGUGGGGGUUGGAAAGCUCCGGCGGUUGUGGAUGGACUCGCGGCCUAUCAGCUUGUUGGUGGGGUAGUGGCCUACCAAGGCGGCGACGGGUAGCCGGCCUGAGAGGGUGACCGGCCACAUUGGGACUGAGAUACGGCCCAGACUCCUACGGGAGGCAGCAGUGGGGAAUAUUGCACAAUGGGCGCAAGCCGGAUGCAGCAACGCCGCGGGCGGGAGGACGGCCUUCGGGUUGUAAACCGCUUUCAGCAGGGACGAAGCUUUUUGUGACGGUACCUGCAGAAGAAGCACCGGCUAACUACGUG